GCCGCGGUGGUGAAAUGGCAUACACGCUGGACUUAAAAUCCAGUGCCUGAAUAAGGCGUGAGAGUUCGACCCUCUCCCGCGGCA
rnacentral:tRNA from 1 species